rnacentral:rRNA from 1 species
CACGUAGGGCGCAAGCGUUGUCCGGAAUUAUUGGGCGUAAAGAGCUCGUAGGCGGUCUGUUGCGUCCGCUGUGAAAACCCGGGGCUUAACCCUGGGCUGGCAGUGGAUACGGACAGACUAGAGGUAGGUAGGGGAGAAUGGAAUUCCCGGUGUAGCGGUGAAAUGCGCAGAUAUCAGGAGGAACACCAAUUGCGAAGGCAGCUCGCUGGGACGUAACUGACGCUGAGGAGCGAAAGCCAGGGGAGCAAACGGG